CCUACUGGUGGCAGCAGUGAGGAAUAUUGGUCAAUGGUCGGGAGACUGAACCAGCCAAGCCGCGUGAGGGAUGAAGGUACAGAGUAUCGUAAACCUCUUUUGUCAGGGAACAAAGGCGGGGACGUGUCCCCGGAUGAGUGUACCUGAAGAAAAAGCAUCGGCUAACUCCGUGCCAGCAGCCGCGGUAAUACGGAGGAUGCGAGCGUUAUCCGGAUUUAGUGGGUUUAAAGGGUGCGCAGGCGGUCGGUUAAGUAAGCUGUCAAAGCCCGGGGCUAAACCCCGGCACGGCCGUUGAAACGGGCAGUCUCGAGUUGGAGAGAAGUAGGCGGAAUGCUCGGUGUAGCGGUGAAAUGCAUAGAUAUCAGGAGGAAUAC
rnacentral:rRNA from 1 species